ACGGAACAUCAUGGUCGAUAUUUACCAUUAUUACCUGUGUUUUCCACUCAUCAGAUUGCAGUACCAUCUCCGCAACCGUCUUCAAUGUCUGCAAGGAUAAGAAACUUUCAACUACAAGCUUCUGGCAAUGAAUGUAAACUAAUGGAACACAAGUCCCUGCCGACCAGAAGAUCCACUGAAGGCUCCAGUAUAGAGCCAUCUACUAGAGCAGCCCAUAGUGUUUGCUGCUCCUUUUUUGUAGGUUAUAAUUAACCUUAAGCUUCUACCUGGGGAAGUUUUUACAGCGUGCACUUUGGGUUCGGUUCUCUUGUGAAAAAACAGUUCAGUAUUCUGCAUUUUUCUGACCCUGGUUGGUACCAACGUGUGAGCUACGAGUUUAUGUCUGAUUUAACAUGCUGGUUUACCAACAAGGUACUGGGUGGAGCAGAGUCCUCCUGAUAAUUGCAUUCAGCUACUGAAGUAACAUCAGUGUGAGCUAAUUAGGUAGGACUGCAUACAGUGACCUCGAACAGAUAUAGACCUAUAUAUGUGAAGAAUUUAUAAAGUGAGAACUAGUGGCUGUGCAUGCAACUGUCACCCACUGGUCAAUGUUCCAACUAUCACUCUAAAUUCUCAGCUUACUCUGGCCUGACCUCUCUAUGAUCAUGUUCAUUCUGAACAUAUAUGCUCCAUAGUAUGUUCCAAUCAACACAUGUAGUAUCUCACUACUGGAUCAAUUAAAAUCUGGAACAAUUUCAGGUUGCCGAGUCUUUUCAAGAACACUACAACUCACCGGAACAAGGCAAUCGUUACCAUGUCCAAUUCUCGCUAUAAUGGCGAGCCUAUUAGUCCACAAUAAUGCUCCAAGGUCCGCUAAAAAUCAGCCUCUGUUCAUCGUCAUCUUCAACAAAGGGUAGAAACAUAAAGCACCCUAAAUAUUUACCAUUAAGAAGGCCACUAGAUAAAAAGGCAAAUUCAUUCUUCAGUUAAGGAAAUAUAAUGACAUGAGGUAUGUAGAUUGCUAACUAUUUGCUACAGAGAAGACCACUAGAUAAUUUAAAUAAAGCAACAUCAAUUCUUGAGACAACGAAAAUUCAUACAUGAGUAAGUUCAGUCGGCACAUAUUUCAAAAGCAGAGCAAAAUUAAUUUCUAAUUUUAGCAUCAUUACAGCAUUAGUCACUUCAGCCCAAAAGAUACCAAGACAAGCAUAGAGCUCAUGCAACCACAUAACAGUCACAGCUUCCAAUCAUACUUUGUAUACAUCAAUGCAAAAGGAAGAAGUGGCCAGCAGGAUCAUACUCGAUCCAAUUCAUAGAUACUGGAUAUACAACAUCUAGGCCGUUAAGAAGCACCACCUCACUCAACAGGGGUCAGAUGAAAGGCGAAGCGUUGAUAGCAUAACCUUCUAGAGCCGGAAAGAAGGUAUGCUUAACAAGACUUUGCUUGAGGCGAGCUCCGGACAUAGAGAAGCUUGGGCGACCACGAUGGAAACUGCCAACCAAUUUGCCAGCACAAUCAAAAUGAAGCAGGCACCCAUAAGCACUGACCAGCAAGAGCACACCACCAUCCACCGAAACAACGUCCACAUUCCGAUGGUCGUCAUAUGCUCCAAACAUCCCCCUGAAAUCCGCAACCGGCAAUUCGAUACGGUAUUUCAAUUCCCAAACCUCGUUUUCAUAGUUUUGCAACAUCGAUAUAUAAACAAAUUUGGUGGCGUCGCCCUGGCUAUAGAAGCCAAGCGUGUCGUCACUCAUCUCGAAGAUAUACGAGUUGGUGGGAACACUUGGAGCACGCAUCAUUCGGAAUGACUCCGCUAUGGUGUCGAACACGAGUAAAUUGUAAAAAACCACCACAAUUGGAGACCCUAACUCAGAAAACUGCCAUCAUUCGGUUUUUUUUCAAAAAACCACCAACAUUGUGGGGACAGUUUUCAAAAAACACUGAAUGAGCAAUUAGAGCUGUUUGAGUGAAAAUCUGACCGCUAGGUCCCAUUGUCAGGUGCCAUGUGGCCUGGGUACAUACGGUACUCCUCACACGUCGUUAGAAAGUGUGGCUCCCGUUAAGCUAGACGUAGGACCCACCCAUCAGUGGGUUUGCUCCUCUCUCUUUCUCAAGCAUUCUUACAAACACCUCUCGUGCACCGCCGUGGCCAUCUCCAUCUCCAUCACGGAGCUCGAGCUGCUCAUCCAGGAGCCCGUGCAGGGUCGCCGUCAGCUGAUGGUGUCGGACCCGGCGUGAGGUGGCGGCGCAGCCAUGGACGCAGCCGGCGAGGUGGCUGGUCGUGGCCGAGCAGGGCCGCGCGCGUGGCUCCGUCCGCAGCCGGCGGCGAGCGCGGCGUUGAGCAGGAUACGGGAGGAGGAUGGGAAGCGCGCCGGGAGGAGCUGGACGUGGCUUGCCGCAGCCGGCGAGGUGGCUAGUCGUGGCCGAGCCUGGCGGCGCGGUGCGGUAGGACGCGGCGGGCGCGCGUGGAGCUGUGCGCACAGGGCUGCGUUCAUCACCGUACCCCGGCGGUUCCAGCCACCGUCUGCUGUCAUGCACAUAGGAAUGGCGCCGGGCUGGACCUCCUCAUGCCCAGGAGCUGCCCGAGCCCGACGACGCCGACGAGGUCGCGAAGUGGAGGAGCUGGAUCCGGCGGGUGGCGAAGUGGAGGGCGGCUAGCACAGGGGGUCGGGGGUCGGGGGCCGCCCUCGGAUCCGUCGUCGGGGCUGCACGGGGGGCCGACGCCGCUUGGAUCCAUCGCCGGGCGGCAAACCGGACUCGCCGCGCGGUGGGCAUCGCCUUCAGGUCUGGCGCCACGACGCGCUCCGUGCGCGGGAUGGGGAUCCGGCCCUCAAACCUGUCCUUGACUGAUUCCGCGCUGGCGACGGCGACGAAUUAGUAGCCGGAGUGCAGCUCUGGGGAGGCGGCGGUGAGGUGCAGAAGACGACGAGCCAGAGUUAUGUGCGGCAGCGUUGGCGUGGUCAACGGAGACCCCGGCUGUGUGUGACUGUGAGGCUUACGGGUGGCCCCCCACUUCUAUCUUUUUUUCUUAUCAUACGUGAGGUCAAACGGUGUCAAGUUGCUUUGCCACAUCAGCACUUACAGCAGGCCCCAUCUGUCAGGUAUGGUGCUAACAUGCAUUUAGUGACCAAUAAGUGCUUUUUGAAAACUGUCACUACAAUGUUGGUGGUUUUUUGAAAAAAAAUGAAUGAUGACGGUUUUGGGAAUUAGGAUCCUCAAUUGUGGUGGUUUUUUGCAAUUUACUCUGUCGAACACUAUUACCACCGGUUCGCUGUCACUCUGACAACGCUUCGGAUGCCAGUGCAGGCUGUCGUGCAGCCUGGCAGGUAAGUUGAGGAGGUACGCCGAGAAUGUUUCUGGCCACGCGAUGGACCUCGGUGGCCGGUUGGAGCCCAACGCAAAGAUAUAGCAAGUUUGGUCUUUGGGUAAGCCUGUGAAGCCCCUCCGAUUCCGUUGCAGUAAGAGGCGGUACUCGCCGGUAGGCCGGUGUGGGUACAUCGCCAAGGUCUUGAAGUUCCAUGGUGGAAGCCUCAGGUAGGCAUGCUCACGUGUGGCCGGGUUGCAGACGGAGAAGGUGCGAGAGGCUGUCGUGCUUUCAAACUUGGAGAGGACGAGGAGGCCGUCGCAGGAGGCCUCCAGAUCGAAGUCCUGGUCAAACGGGGCGACGGUGUGGAGCUGGUACUCUGCGGUGGCCCGGUGGUCGAAGGCCAGAAUGUUACGGUACUGGCCGUCGCCGGGGAAAAUGGGGAGAGCGGGCUGGCGGGCAUGGUGCGCCAGGAGGAAGCGGCGGGUGGAGGUGACAAGGCACCAAGACCGGCGGACGGCGCGGCAGCAGAAGAGGGUUCUUGGGUCCAGGUGGACGAGGAUCUCCCAGAUGAUGAUCUCGUCUGGGAGGAAAGGCGUCAUUCCUCCUCCUGCUGCGGCGUUCGCAAUGGUCGCCGGUUGGGAGCUCGUCCCGGAGGUGUGCUGGUGCCUGGUGGCUUGUCAAUUGCAAGAAACCACCACAUUUGCGGCUAGGUUUGCAGUAAACCACCAACUCGUUAAUCCGUUGCAGAAAACACCGAAAAAUCUGUUAAGUCGUUGCAAAAAGCACUGAUCGGAUGAUUUGGCCCGUUUAAUCACUUUCUUACAAGUGGGGCCAGAUUGUAAGGAAUUGACUUAGCGAAAAAAUAACACAUACACCCCCAGAUAAAAAAACAAAAGCAAUCUGACCCUCCCCCGUGGAACUCCCUCUCCUCCACCACGCUGACGCCCUGUCCACUCUGCGCCGCCGCCGCGCUGCUGCCAUCCGUCUGGCAUGGUGGCGCCCAGGCCGAGAUGCAUGGGGCCGCCCUUGUCGGCGACGGAGAGGGCUAUGCCGCUGGGGAGGACGAGGAGGCGGCCGGCGCCCACGGCUGCACUGCGAACCGUCUCCAUAGCGCGCGGGCCGUGAUGGCGACGCCCUCCGGCAGCUCGUCGUAGCCGGGGAAGAGCUGGGAUGGCGGGGGCAGGCUCGGUCUGGCAGCCUGCCGGCCGCCGCCAAGUCGUGCUGCCGGCAAGGCAAGAGGCGACCACCCGACAGCAGGGCGAUGACGGCGACGACGGUGCACGAGGCGGUGACGCGCGGCGGCGCGGUGAUCGAGGCGGAGGAGAUGCUCGUCGGGAGGCUUGUGCCGCCGCGGGACUGCUCGGAGGCGAUGUACGCACGCACAGCCGCACAGGUGAACUUCGACAGCGAGGGACAGCGAUGGCAGCGGCCUCAAAAGGCGGCCAUAGCAGCGCACACGUGCCGGCCGGCUUUCGCUGAAACAGAGGCGAGCCCAGCCCGGCCGAGAGCGUAGCCUACCCGUGGUGCGUGCGUGCCACAGGAUGGCCGGCGUGGUGGAGAAGAGAGAGUUCGGGAGGGUCUGAUUGCUUUUGUAUUUUUAGAUCUAGGGGUGUAUGUGUUAUUUUUUCGCUAAGUCAAUUCCUUACAAUCUGGCCCCACUUGUAAGAAAGUGAUUAAACGGGCCAAAUCAUUCGAUUAGUGCUUUUUGCAACGACUUAACAGAUUUUUCGGUGUUUUCUGCAACGGAUUAACGAGUUGGUGGUUUCCUGCAAAACUAGCCGCAAAUGUGGUGGUUUCUUGCAAUUGACUCGCCUGGUGGCGGCGGAGGGGAUGUAGCAAUAGUAUGUUACGUAAAUCUUUCAGGUGGUAGAAACGGAUUUGAGGUGGCCUCGUCUGCAGGUUCCAAACCCUACAAAAGAUUUCCUGUAAGGAAAAAAAACAAGUAUUUAACUAUCACAAAACAUGCACAUAAUUCAUGUUCAAACUUCAAAGGUUCAGAACUUCAGAGAAAAAGGAGUGUGCUCAAUUAUUUUGUAAGAGCCAAAACAUAUUAAGAACUGCGGAUGGUAACUAGACCAAGGUUUUGUGAACAAUUGACUCAUCAUUACAUUACGUACCUAGCCGGAGACUGUCAACUUGAGUUUAUUUACACAUGUACUCCCUCUGUAAAGAAAUAUAAAACCAUUUAUAGAUCACUAAAGGGAGUAGUAAGGAUUUUGUUUUCCGAUAAUGAUAUGUCAUAUGUAGCAAGGAUCAUGACGAUGUAACGGAAUAAAGCCAACUAGCCAAGAAUCCACUGCAUAUGCUGCAUCCGAUGAAGUUUCAUCGUUCCACCAAUGCCCUUGAUACCUGAGCAAACAUGCUGCGAAUCGCAUCUCAGCAGACACCACUGUCAUCUAUCAGCUGCUGGUCAGUAGGUGUCUGUCAAUCAUUUCACAGGCAUGCAACGGAACCGAGACCUGGAAGAUUCGUAUGGUACCUGCUGAUGGCAGAGUUGCAAAGGCAACGUGGUCUUUCAUGCUCCAAACAGACUGGACACUGCUACAACACCGAUAACACUUGCAGUGCAACAGGUAAACAUGGCAUUUACUAAAUUUUUGCAGAACAAGAGCAAUCAACGACAGAACGUCAAGAGUUGAUAUAUACCAUUAUUACAAAACUAGGGCAAACGUUGCUCCCGUAUAAGCUAGUACUCUGUGACAACUGAACAUUACUUGUCCAUUAAUCAAUCACAGCCAUAAUAAGAGGAAACAGAAAAACGCAGCAACUUGAUAUGCGAGACAGAAGAAGAACCAGCAGUCGGGCAUUUUGUCCACCUCAAAGAUUAUUCCAGUGUACAGAUGGGAGGGUUCCUGGUGGCAUCUCUCGAGAAGCUACUACCAUGGAGGCAUUUAGAACAGAUCAAAGUACACCAUCGUGUCCUUGGCCAUGACUAGCAAGAGGAGCUUGAAGUAUAUCAAGGCCCACUUCCUGGUGAUGUCAUGGUGGACGUAGUCCAGGAGGAUCUCCUUGUGGAACAUGUAGACCUGAUGGUACACUGACGCAAUCAGGAGAGAAGUGCUGAUGCUGUUCUUCGACACCAGGAGCAGAGUCGGGAUCAUGUAGAACGUGACUUUUGUCAUCAUCUCGGUCCGCCUCACUUUCAAGCUUUCGAGUGUCAAUGGACUGCUUCUGGGCUUGCUAAUGGUUGCUUCAAUGGGGCUGAAUGCUGCGACCUUCGCUGAGGCUCCCUCCUGUGAUUUCAGUGCAUCCGAUUGUACCAUCCCAGCAAUUGUCUUUGAGGUCUACAAGCAUAAGAAACUUUCAGUUGCAAGCUUCUGGCAAUGAAUGCUGUCAAGUGAGGAAGCAAACUAAUGAAACACAGCUCCCAUAAGAUUGGCACAAGGAACAAACUAGCACCUGCUGAUCAGAAGAUCCAUUGGAGGCUCCAGUAGAAAACCAGCGAGGCAAUACGUGUGUGCCACCGAGUCGAGAUGCCUGCUCAUAUCCUAGAAUCUGCUUGCAUAAGGGAGGACAAAUGGCACCUCAAAAAAUGAAUUAUUACGAGUACGAUAGGCUGAUAAACUGAAGAAGAGAAUGUAAUAAUAGAAGUAGACAUGCAUACGAACAUAAAGUUCUUAAAAAUUGUACAGCAUGCUGAGAAAUGAAAUGAUCACUGAUCACUCAAGCAAACAAAAUGCAGUAUUGGUAUUUUGGCCUUUCAUCAGUGAAAUACAUAUGUAACUACAUAGAGCAGACUCAUAAACCAGCACCUGCCAAACCUAAAAUGCUAUUAGUAUUUUUGGAUAUUCAUCAGGAAGAUAGAUAUAACUACAUAGAGCAGACUCACAAACCAUGCAUCUAGAAUCCUACUCUCUGUGUGACAAGCAGAGGCAGAACUGUACUACAAUAUUCCCUGUUCUCAAUGCAAGAUGACAGUUAUAGUUCCGCCUUUAGAUUUUAGUUCUCCAUGCACUAGGGAGAACAGCUAUUAUUGCACAAUGCAUAUGAAGCAUGUGUAAAGCACCAUCAAUGAAUUUUACAACUAGCACAUCCUAUCUCAUGUUGGCAGCACCACUAAAAUUAUUUCAUAAUAAUAGUACAAAGUUGGCAGCAUCAAUGAAUACCAGCAAUACAUAUAACUAUUUUUUGACAAUGAAUUUCACAACAAGUACAGAAAGUUCUUAAAAAUUGUACAUCCAACGAAGUGAUCACUGAUCAGUCAAGCAAACCAAAUGCACUGUUGGUAUUUGGUCUUUCAUUAGUGAGAUACAUAGAUAACUAAACAGAGAAGACUCACAAAUGAGUACGUGCUAGAUAUCAAUGAUGACUGAUCAGUCAGGCAAACCAAAUGCACUAUUGGUAUUUUAGUCAUUCAUCAGUAAGAUACAUAUAACUAGAUAGAGCAGACUCACAUACCAUGCAUCUAGAAUCCUACUCUCCCUGUGAAAAGCAAAAGUAGAACUGUAGUACAGUAUGACAAGUUCUAGUUCCUCCAUUAUAAUUCAGUUCUCCACGAACCAGGGAAGAACUACUAUUGACCAAUGCAUAUGGAACUUAUGUAAAGCAACAUCAAUGAAUUUAACACCAAGUACGUCCUAUCCAAUGCUGGCAGUACAGAGUGCAUAAAAAACUAUAGAAGACUACACAUGUGCCAAGUAAUCAUAGACAGUUGUAUCUUUUUCAUCGGCAAUAGAAAAAUAUAAUAACCGCAAAACGGAUGGCACCAAUCAAGAGUAUUGACUCGAACAACGAAAUAUCCUGUUUGUGCAUAAUCAGCAGUUAUAUACCAUUAGCAGAAAUCUCCCGUGUUGAAACACAAUAGCAUAGUGACAUGAUAUCUCGAAGGUACUGAGCAUUCCUUUAGUCAACUACAAGCUCAGGCUGAAAUUUAAUUGAAGCAGAUUGGCAAACCAAACCAAACGUAUGAAAGGAUACCCUUUACAGUUUAUGUAAAGUAAACAUAACACUUUAAGCUUCGCUGCCUACAUGACUACAUCCCUAACUCAAUGUCAUGUGUAGUCACUAUCGCGCCACAAUGAACGCCAAUCUCACCAACUGUUUAUCAACCCAAUUCAGAGUUUUGUUCAGUUUUCGUUCUCAAACUCGAUGACUCUGGAGAUUCAAUCGGCCAGCGCAAAGGCAAAGAGGUGAGUUCACCUUACACCACAAACCUAACCCGCAACAUAAGCUCGAUGAGGCCUAUACAAGCUAGUAAGUAGUCUAAGUAAAACCAUCGAAAAUACACACAACCACCUAACAGAACACGGAAAUCGAGCCCUCGAGGAACGGAAUCAGGCAAUCGCACAAAACGAUCGGAUCGAGCACGAACGAGCGGCGCAUCACGCUUACAGCCCCAUAACCGGAGCAACAAGCAGCCAGUCCAGUCGACGUAAGCUACCAGAGAGAGAGAAGGGGUGAGGAAGGGGCGGACCUUGGAGAGGCCGAGCGGCGAGACCGCCGCCGGUUGCCGCGGCGACGAGGCGGGGGAUGCGGCGGCCGGAUCGCGGGGGAGGGUGGAGAGCGCGCGGGUCCCCCAGGCGGCGGCGAGCGGCGACGGCGCGGCCGCGUCGGCGCGGGCGGCGGCGAGCGCUAGGGCUUUGGAUCUGGUCAGCAAUCGCGACGCCAUUCUUUCUCUCUCUGUUCUCUCGGAAGGGAAAGGAAAGAAGGAUGGUGUUUUUUUUCAGGACAAGUGCGAGUACACGCAAGCAGAAAUGGCCUGGCCCAGUAUUACCGGCCCACACUUGCAAGGCCGAAUAGACGAACCAGGACCCCUCGCGGGUCAGGCUGGGUAAGCUAUUUGACCCACCAGCUUCUCAUGGACAUUAGAGUUGGUACAUCUACAUCCCCGCCCAGCUUGAGUCACGGGUGCCCUUCAAGGAUCACUUUGAUGCGUCGAGCUCUCAGCUACGCCCAUAUAUCGCGUGAUGGCUGUUUCCUUGGGAUAUUAUUAUAUUUGUGCGUUUUAAAUGUUUUUUUUUUGGGUUUUCAGGUUUUUGGUUUCUGCUCGGUUUUCUCUAGGUUUGGAAAAAAAAAUCAAAAAAAUGCUUUUCUUUUUCCGCGAGCGGCACAGAUUUGUUUCUCGUGGAGACACAAGUUUCAUUUUCGCGAUAGGCACACUCAAAAAGGAAAAAAACGCAAGAAAAAGAAAAAAGAUUCAUCCACAAGAGAAAAAACGUGUUUUCUCUUUCGCGAGAAGCAUAAAUUUGCUUCUCGUGGAGGCACAUGUUUACUUUCACAAGAGGCACAAUUGUACCUCCCAGAAAGGAAAAAUGCAUUUUUUUUCUUACACGAGAGGCACAAAUUUACUUCGUGUGGAGGUACAGAUUUGCUUCCGCGAGAGGCACAGCUGUGCCUCACAGAAAAAAUAUGUUUUUUUCUUUCACGAGAGGCAUAGAUUAGCUUCGCGUGAAGGCACAAAUUUCCAAAAGUUCAUCGAAACCUAUUAAUGUUGGAUCUAGUUUCGAAGAUCUCAACACAGGAAAUCCAACCGUGGAAAUGAUUUGCGAUUUACACGCACGGUUUAAGUGAUAAAAUAUUUUGAAUAAACGAAUCUAUGUCGAUACCGUGAAUAGCUGGUUCACGAGACCAACUACGCACAAGCCACAAAUAGCCCUACCCUUGGUCAGAAGCAUCAGGGCUACAAGACUCGGGAAUGGAGCCCCGGACAACGAUAUGCUUCCUUACCCCCAAAGGCAUCUAGACCAGGCUGCCCAAUGCGUGUCGUGGCGGUUCGGCUUGGUCAGAGCCCGUAUGGCACGUUGCAUACAGACAGCAUGGGCGCUGAAGAUGCAUCAGUAACUGGGGGUGAGUUACCAGCUCACCUGCCGUCAGGGUGGCACCUGCACCGGCGCGUGGCGCCAUUCGACUAGGGUGCCACCUUGGGCGGUGAUGACAAGAUGGACGUUCGUUCCCGAAUGACAGAAGACGAUGACACGUCAUCAUGCAUUUAAUGUGCAUACCUACCAUGUCGGCUGAGGGUAGUUCCUUAGGAACUAUGCCAUUGUGAUAUCCCUUGACAUAUAAAAGGAGGACCGAGCUAUAGAAAAGGAGGUUGGACACUUGAUAGAAUACAAGUAGAAGCACACAACACUUCCCGUUCCCGGGAGGACUUGUAGCUCGCCAUCCACUGAACAUAAAACCAUACACAAAGCACACCAUGCGGCCUGAACCCUGGUAAAUCAUCGUGUCACUUCAUGCAUUUUAGUAGUGUAGCUCCACACCUUUGUGCCCCGUCCCCGAACCAGCGGAAGGACGUCUCCAGUCCACGAUGUCGCGCACGUGUUCUGCAAAUACCCAUCAACAGUCUACAAAAAAACAAAAAAAAACUCCCAAGUUACGACAAGUGGCACACUGCAUGUAUCCUUAAUCAGUGAUUUUUGUUUUCUCACAAACCACUCAAUCGCCAGGGCUAUGUCUUGGGUGGUCAUAUACAACGCCUUUAGCGGGUAGUCUUAUAUGAUUCUUUUAGCGCCUAAUCUGCUCAAAGGCACUCACCCGAAGGCUCCCUGGUCGCUCAGUAUGCAGUUGCUUCGUCAAGCGGCAGUUAAUUGGUCGUUGGUUCACCAGUUCACCAAUCAACCAUUGACUUUCGGGAAAAAAAUGUAGGAAAGAAAUGAUUUGAAAAUAAAUAUCAUGGAUUCAUAAAAAUUCAAGGAUUAGAAAGAAAGUUUCUCAAAAAUAACAAAGAUUCACAAAUUAUUAAAAAAAAACUUGGCAAAUUUGAAAAAAAGUCCAAUAAUUUUGAUUUUUUUGCAGAUUUUGAAAAACAAAUCACGGAUUUGAAAAAGUUUGUCAAUUUUGAAAAAUAAGUUCAGAAUUUUGAAAAGUUCAUCAAAAUGGCAAAAAAAAUUCAUUGAUUUUCGAGAAAAGGUUAUCAAAUUUUAAAAAUAUCAUAAAUUUUGAAAGAAAAGUUCAUAAUUUUGGAAAAAAUCACAAAUUUGGAAAAAUCAUCAGUUUUCAAAAGAAUUCAUCAUACUUGCAACAAAGUUUUUUAAUUUGAAUUUUUUUUGGAAAAAGUUCUCAAAUUUGAAAAAAAGGCCAUUCAUUUUGAACAAAAAAUCAUCGAUAUUGCUAAAUGUUUGUGAAUUACGGAAAAAAUAAAAGCAAAGAAAAAGAAUUAUGAAUUAAGAACAUAAAAAGGAAAAAAGUAAAGAAAAAGAAAAAGAAAGAAAAAACCGUAUAGAAACCGGUCUAGAAAAUAACCAAAUCGAAAUAAGAAAAACUCGUCUAGGAAUCUUCCCAACCAACGGCUUCGGCAAAUUGAAGAAGGAAUAAAAGGACAAAACAAAGUAAAUGGGCACAAGUGUUAAGGUGUCAUAGUGGUCAGUUGGGUUCUCUCUAAAAGGAAGAUCUCGAGUUCAAAUCAAAGAUGGGAGAAACGAUUUCACGGCGGCCUCUCCCAAUAGGUAUAGCGGCUACCAUAGUGAGCAAUCGCGACAAUAGCGGAAUUUUUUUGGUGGGAGAGAUGAUUUCUAGAGGGUUUUGUGAAUUUUUGAGCCACUUAGAGGGAUUUGUGGACGAUUUCGCAGCAGGAGCCAUAGCAUAGUGGUGAGGCUCCCGCGGAGCUAUGGCGCAGCUAUUUUAUGGGAUAUUUAAUACUAUGGUUCAAAUCCCUCACCCACACUCUUUUUUCAAAAUUUAACAGAAAAAGGUAAAUGGGCCGGCCCAUGCAAGAUAGGUGGAGGUGGGGGGUGCGCCUGUUUGUGCCGACCGAUGUACAAGAAAUGCCCUAUGUCUCGCGCAAACCGAUUCACAAUAGGAAUCGCCUACGACAGACGAUUAUGGGCCGACCCAUUAGCUGCAUGUCUCGCUUAGCUUGCAGCGUGUUCGGUCGCUUAUGUUUUUCUAGAUUUUUUUGCCGGUUUUCUUUGAUUUUUUUCUUCACUAUGUUUUUGGUUUUCUUUGUUUUCGCAAUGGGUUUCUUUGCUUUUUCUUGUUUUCUUCGUUAUACUUUGGUUUCUUUUGUUUCUUUCUUUGAAUUUUUUGGUUUUUUUGUUCCAUUGUCUGAUUUUUUAUUUUACUUUUCCAGAACAUAUCUACUUUUCAUACACGUCCUACAUUUUUCCUACACAUGUAUACCAUUUUUUAUACUCGUUUAAGAUUUUUUAAAUACAUUUUUACCAAAACAUGUUUUGAAUGUAUUUUUGUAAUUCGUGUUAGGAAAAAUUCAGUACAUGUUGAAACAUUUUUUUGAAUUAUAAUGUUUUUUUAAUUGUGCAAACAAUUUUUGAACAUUGUAUAAACAAUUUUUGAAAAUGUGACGAAUACAUUUUUGUAACUAUUCAAUAUAUCUUAAAAUGUGACAUACAUUUUUUUGAAUGUACACAACAUUUCUGUUUAACUACACAAACAUUUCUUUGCAUUCUAUAAACAUUUUUUAAGUGUCACGUAGAUUUUCUUGAAUUGUGUGACAUUUUGAUUUUUACAUUAAUUUUGCAUGCACAUGAUUCAUGGUUGCCCUGUGCCACCCGCCCCGACCGCGCGCUCCCUGGAGCGCCUGCCCAUCCCCGAUUGAGCCCGGCACCGCCAGCGGCUGCACGCGCGCUCCCCGGCAUGGCCAUGCGAGCUCCCAACGCCCCUCCCCUGCCCUUCUCUAGCGCCGCCCCGUCCUGAUUCGGGCCACCAAUGGCCUCCUCCGCCCGGCCCGUGGAGGGCCUCACCUCAGCAGUGGAGGUCGAGCCGGCCACAAUUCGGACCGGAGGCGGCAAAUUCCGGCGUGCAGCGACGGAUUCCGGUGAGUUCCGGGUAGAUCCCGACUAGUUCCGCGGCGGCGCGUUUGCUUCGAUGAGGUUUGACCGGUUUACACGUUGAACUGUAUACUGCCUUCAAAACUGUACAUAUGAGGUUUUCGCGGAUGGAUUUUCAGUGCCCUUUAAAAAGUUUAAGGGCCGAUCGAGUUUUAUGGGAUCUGCUAGGCGCCGUUUUAAACUGUAAACAUGGAUUUUUUUUACGUGCUUGAUCGCUUUUAAGGGGUCUACUAGAGAUGCUCUAACUGGUCCACUUUGCCUGUUACAAACUGUAUUUUUUCCUAGAAUACGCAUAAUCAUAUCAUUACAAUAAAGAAGAAGUGACAAAGAAGCCUGGUAGAAGGCCUUUCAGCCUUACAACGCCAAUCUUGAGAAUUAGCCGCUACAUCCAUCACACACACGCACCUUGAGUAUUAUGAUACAUGCUUUCCUAAUCUAACCUCAUGCCAAUGAGGAUAGGCAAGUCACAUAUAUAUUAGUAGGGAAACUCAUUAUAGGACUUUGUUAUUAGCCGCGUCCAAUAAAUGACCACGCUGCUGGUAACUGGGCAAAAUAGUACUCCCAUAAUAUAAGAUCGUUCUUGACACUAGUAUAGUGUCAAAAACGUUCUUAUAUUAUGGGAUAGAGGGAGUAGCAACAUGCACUAAAAAAUGGCACACUGCUAUGAACAACUAACUAGCAAUGUGCGGGUUAAACGACACGCCGCUAGUUAGACCGGCCCAGAAAUGGACCUGACAGAAAUUACUAGCAGCAUCGUGCACACAUGUGCGGAUGCUACUACUAACCAUGUCAUUAGCCUUCAAACAUAUGCACACGCUGCUAGUGGCCAAACCUUUCUGCUUAAAAAUAAAAAUAUAUGCAACUUACUAGUAGCGUGUGCACAUACGCACACGCUGCUAGCACCCGGACCAUUCUGCUUAAGAAAACUGUACCAACUAACUAGAAGCGUGCACAGAUCUACACUCUGCUAGUGAUCAUGUUACUAGCAGCGUGCACACUAUAUGCACACUCUGCUAGUAAUCAUGUUACUAACAGCAUGUACUCAUAUGCACACCCUGCUAGUAAUAUCAAUAAUUUUUAAUUUAUAAGUUCAGACAAAGUGAUUCUUUUUUCUAAAAUUUUAAAAUUAAUACAUCUAUGUAUCUAAUAGAAUAUUUUUCAUUUUUUAACCACAUCUAGAUUUUACAAAAUAUAAAUAUCAGUAAUAUAUAAGUAAUUAAAUAUUAGACUAAUUUUUUUCUUCAUUAGUUUGAAAUGAAACUUUUUCUGCACUUAGCAUACACUAGUACAUCAUACAUGUCAAAAUUUGGCAUUGUUUCAGCUUCGUUUGCUAUAAGUGUCAUUAAGUAUUCAAAUUUCAAAUACAAGUACCUGAAAUAAUGGACACAAUUGGGUUGAAAAAUAUAUUUUAGGUUAUCAAAUAUAUAUUUAGGCCUUAUCCAAGAGAAUAAAACCUAUUCCAAACAUCAUGGUGCUAAGACUCGACCACCAAAUUGAUGCUUAUUGGUUUUUUUAAUCUUAUAAAAAAUGCAAACGUAGUUUAAGAAAUAGAAACGUGGCAUGGUGUCAUGUUAUGACACCUAGAGGUUGUGUUUAAAAUUUAAGAAGAUUACACAAAAGUUAUCACGUAAACUACUUAGAAACCGCACCAUCUCGAAGGAAGAAUAUUAGUGGUUUCGAGAGGUAACAGACCAACUUUAAGGUAAAAUGAUGGUCAUCUUUGUCGGUUGACAUUAAAACUUCUUCUAUAAUUAAUAUACACCACUAAAUCUUUCAUAGCAAACUUAGAUUGUUUUUAAUUUGUUUGCUAUAUUUAAUAAAAAAAUUACAACUUUAGAGCAUGGGUAAUUGCAACCCAGGUACACAAACUUGGCAGGUGGGUUCAGUUUGGUACAAAAACUUUAAAAAUGUACGCCACGGGUACCACAACUUGGCUUUUAUGUUCAUCCAAGUACAAAUCAAUCCUGAGCCAACACGUGGAUGCCAGGUAGGCAGGAUGAAUGCGCUGGGCUGCUUCGCUCUUUUACAAAAAUUCUCCCGCAAGGAACUAAAAUUUUGUCAUAGGAUCCAUGCGGACGAAUUAACCAGGUAAGCAUGCAAAUAUAUUGAUUUUGGUCUACUAUAAAAGCGCUGAUUUAUAUCGAAAUUUGGAUGCAAAGACUUGUCAUACCUGUCGAGCUCGACAGCUAUGCCUAGGGUAGCACAAUUAUUGGCACUGGACUUAUAUAAUUUCCUACAGCUUGGCCCUUAAACCCCCACUUGUCCAUUGAGAGGUUGUGUAACCCGUCUUGUCUUCACCUCAACUGUGCAAGGACACAGAAGAUCGCAGCUUUCCUUUGGCGCGCGGGGGAGACCGGGCCGCGGGCAUCUGCGCACAGAAUGGCGGUAUGCUCUUCUCUCCUUCCUCUGGAUGCAAACUGUCCAAUGAUUUUCCUACAGAAAUUAUUAUGGUAUUGACGUAUUAUUAGGAAGCUCUCGUACAACCUCCAUUCAGAUGCGGAUGAGACUCUCAUCAUUGUUCAUUAUUGUUAGCUUGUAAGUCUGUGUGUGAUCGAUUCAGUUUUUCAUAUGGUUUUUUUUGUGGUAUAUUCAACAGAGACCCCUCCGUCAUUGCAUUGUGCCGUUGUCCCAGACACUAGAAUCAGAUCCUGCAUCAUCAUCUGGAUGCAAACCUUGCGCUUCUUCCUCACACACGUAUAGAAUAGGCCCUCACAAUUCUCGAAAAAAAGAAUGGGCCCUCACGUGUAAUAAUCGACUCUCACGCGAGAUCAGCGCCGACACUGGUGCAAUGCAUGAAGCGUUCAUAUCUUCGUCGUCGCCGAGCAGCUCCUCCAGUGUGUACUGUACUUGAAUCUGCCGUCAUCAUCCUCCGCUGUGUCAACACCUUCUUAGCCGUUGUCAAGAUCGCGGGCCAAGAACCCCUUUGCCGCCUUGGCAUGUCCCUGGUACUGCCCUCACAGUUCUUCAAUUAUAUCGGCAAAGAACCCCAGCCGGAUCCACGUCAUCAUCGGUCACUACUCCGGCGGGCAGUCUUCGUCGGACAUCAACCAGCGCUUGAUCUCCUCUAGCAUUCUGCAUUCUUCGAGGGCCAUUUCUUGGCGGCCUGGAGUUUGGGGGCGUUGAGCAUUGGGAUUUCCACCGGACUUGACGUUGCGUUGGCUGUCUGGUUAAUUCUUCAAUAUGUUUCUCUAAAAAACAAGAGAUUCUUUAAUCUGUGUGCCACACCGUGGGAUGCAAAAGAGAUUACUUGCCCUUGUUCGCAUUUUCUCACUUUGAGCAUCCAUAGGAUCACACCAAAUAAGAUGAGUCGCUUUGCCCAAAAGUGAGAAGUCCACUUUCAUCCCUAAACUCUUUUUUGAGGAAAUUCAUCCCUAAACUCUUUGGUUUGUCUAAGAUUCAACCCCCAUCUGUAAAACCGGCGAAGAUUCAACCCCCAACUCCCCGAACCAUUCAGGAUCCAAUCCAACCCUGCCCUCGGCCCGGUGCUAGUUUCCCAUGAGUCAAAUGGGUUUUACCGUGUUGACCAUCUAGUCAGCAUGUCAUGUUAUCCUAGUCAGGUAAAUAAUAUAUAUGAUAUAAAGACAUAGCUAGUCAACAGAUCGAUAAUCUACAGACACAAAUUAUUAAAAUAUAAAAAGAGGAAAGAAAAGCAUGACUCCAAAAUGUCAUGUCAAAGUGACGGUAGCAAGCAUCAACAUGCAACAACACCAACCGCCGCCUCUGACUCCAUUGGAACUGAAGAGAGGUUCUUCAAUGGUGGUGCCUCUGGAAAGGGAACUACGUCUCAUGUCGACAUUGUUAGAUCCAAUCACUGAAGGCCAGAUCCAGGGUUUUCACCCCAAAGAUCAAGUCUGAGCAAAUUGCAACCAAUGCCUUGAAGAAGGGAACCGCCAUUUUCAGGUACAACCAACUAAUGUGCCGAUGGCAUAUGUCAGGGUUAUAAGCAUGGUCGUCCCAUGUAGGUUGGAUUUGCAUUUUUUUUGGAAUCAACAUUCAUGGUGGGUACAUGACGAUUUGGUUCGUGGUCUUGCGCAGUCAUUGUCAUCUUUCCUGGUCAAAUGUGCUUAAUUAGAGGAAGCAUGAAAAUGUUGCUAGUCCCUCGGCUCACAUGUACUGGACUUGGAAUUACGAGAAUGCCUUUUUGUUUCCCUCUCACUCGCUCGAUUUCAUGUAAAUUGCCUAUUCUAUGGAUGAUUUAUAAUAUUUCUAUGAGUUAAUCUCUCUUUUCAGCACAUACUAAAAGUAAUACAUACCGAUGAACUGGGUAAAAAUCAAACUAACAUGAUGUAAUUUUUUUUAUUUUCUUUGCUGACAUUGAAAAUGCCAAAUAAUAGCCUCUUUGCCCCCACCAAUUGUUCCUGGAAUGCAUGCUGAGUUGGUAGGAUUGACUUGUGCUUGUGACGUCCUCUUCUUUAACAUAUUCUUCGAUAGAGCUGGCAUGGCACUAUUGUUGUUUCGGCUCUUACUUGCUUGAUUUGAAAUGUGGAAUGCCACAUAUUAUGUUUCCCUCUCACCUUCUCAAUUUUACGUAAAUUAUGUGAUUGACAUCAAAUUUGUAGCUUUCUAAUGGUCCAACUUUCUUGCUCAAGGGUCGACCAUCUUCGGGCUACCCUCUCAGAGUUGUUGGGGGAAAUAGUUCGCUCUCCACACUAAACAUCACAUCAUCCUAUCCUAAAUGCCUCUUUGUCCCCAUACCUUGGCCAAGAGACCACUCGAGAAUCCGGACGCUGGACAAGAGGGGGCAUUUCAUUUGUACGUGCUCUUGAUAGCUAGUUUCCAAAGCACACUCAUGCACCGCCAAUAGCUAUGCGGCCUUAGUUAUGUUACUACCAAGAGAAACAUAAAAAUGCAGGAAGUUGCUAGCUAUGACAACUCAAGACCAAACAAACAUGUUUGUCGAGCCAAGAGAACAUUCAGCUAUUGUUGUGUGGGUAGGUUAGGACUUUUUUAGCUCCACUCACUCUGAACAACCGAGUUCCAUAGCAUCCUCAUGUACCACACAUGGCUACAUGGCAUGUUUUACAUCACUACCGAGGGUAAUGCGCCGAUGUAGCAAGUGACAUGAACGCACUCAAGACAAAUCAAACACCAAACAAUAUACUUUUCUCUCUUUUCUGACAUUAAUUGUUUGUAUUCCUUCCUCCAUAUGGCUCGUGGAAUUGGCCAGAAAGCAAGACUUCACAUAAUUAGUUGCCAUGCAUGUUCAUCAUCUUAGACACAUCUUACCAAUGACGCUGACCAUAAUGGCACCUGCGCAUGUUGCAUCUUGUGGACACUGAAGCUUGUUGAUCCUACACCUAUAUACGAACCUUAGGUAUGAUGUUUUCUUCUACUUCAUACUCUACUUCAAUGGAGAUUGCACCAUGUGUACAAGAAUAAGUCAUGUGACUUUGUUAUCACGUUCCCAUGUGUGGAUGGUAACAUAUCGAGAAAGUGUGUAAUAGUUCUUUUUAGGUAGCAUCACAAUUUAGCUCGCACACAAUAGCAAAUACAAUGGAGGGCCAAGCAUGCAUGUGUAGUAGGAUGUCCUUUGCUAAUGUUUGAGUCUCUAAAGUGUGGAAGUACGAAGAACAAAAACAUGUCCACAUGAUUUGUAAAUGCUCUGCAUGGGAAAAUAUAAAAAGGAAAGAGAACAAGUUUGCGAAUGUCAUGUCCAAUUAUGUAAGUGAGUCAAAUAAUAUGGCCCAUAGUCAACUUAGUUGCAGUUACAAUGAUAUUACGGUUCUGCUUUGCUGAUUGAAAGAUGAUCCACUAGAUUAACGACCAGAUGUUUUGGUUUCCUUGGGAAUGGCUUUGUUUUCUCUUGUUAACUUGUCAUGUACUUUUAACAUAUAAUGGAUUCUAAAUUUUUAUGUGUUGUUCAUGAUGAAACAUUGGCACUCACUACAAAAAAAAGACACAUCCAUGACAUUUUGGGCCGAACGAACUUUUUUUCUGUCAUACAUAUGACACUUCUAUGACGAUAAUUGUGACAAAACCCGGUAUCAUCAUAGAUGUGGUGGGCUCCUACUUCUAUGACAAAAAAUCAUGACAGAAAAUGGGCUUUUCGUCCUGGGCGGGCCGGAGACGCAGCUGCAUGACAUUCUUUGGGCCGUCCAUGACAGAAAAAACCGUGGUAGAAGCGAGGGGGAGGAAAAUUUCGGGGAGUUCCCGGUUACGGUGGGAGGUCGGGGGCCGAGCGAUGCGCGUUUCUCUCGUACACGUACGCGCGUGUGUGCGAGGCGUUGGCUCUAACUGAACCCGAGCGAGGCGUUGGGCUCUAACUGAACCCGAGCGAUUGCACUGCAGGCUACGCGUUACUGAACCCGAGCGAUCGAUCGAUGGCUGUUAACUGAACCCGAUCGAGCGAUUCCUUCGCUACUGCUGCUAACUGAAGCCNNNNNNNNNNNNNNNNNNNNNNNNNNNNNNNNNNNNNNNNNNNNNNNNNNNNNNNNNNNNNNNNNNNNNNNNNNNNNNNNNNNNNNNNNNNNNNNNNNNNNNNNNNNNNNNNNNNNNNNNNNNNNNNNNNNNNNNNNNNNNNNNNNNNNNNNNNNNNNNNNNNNNNNNNNNNNNNNNNNNNNNNNNNNNNNNNNNNNNNNNNNNNNNNNNNNNNNNNNNNNNNNNNNNNNNNNNNNNNNNNNNNNNNNNNNNNNNNNNNNNNNNNNNNNNNNNNNNNNNNNNNNNNNNNNNNNNNNNNNNNNNNNNNNNNNNNNNNNNNNNNNNNNNNNNNNNNNNNNNNNNNNNNNNNNNNNNNNNNNNNNNNNNNNNNNNNNNNNNNNNNNNNNNNNNNNNNNNNNNNNNNNNNNNNNNNNNNNNNNNNNNNNNNNNNNNNNNNNNNNNNNNNNNNNNNNNNNNNNNNNNNNNNNNNNNNNNNNNNNNNNNNNNNNNNNNNNNNNNNNNNNNNNNNNNNNNNNNNNNNNNNNNNNNNNNNNNNNNNNNNNNNNNNNNNNNNNNNNNNNNNNNNNNNNNNNNNNNNNNNNNNNNNNNNNNNNNNNNNNNNNNNNNNNNNNNNNNNNNNNNNNNNNNNNNNNNNNNNNNNNNNNNNNNNNNNNNNNNNNNNNNNNNNNNNNNNNNNNNNNNNNNNNNNNNNNNNNNNNNNNNNNNNNNNNNNNNNNNNNNNNNNNNNNNNNNNNNNNNNNNNNNNNNNNNNNNNNNNNNNNNNNNNNNNNNNNNNNNNNNNNNNNNNNNNNNNNNNNNNNNNNNNNNNNNNNNNNNNNNNNNNNNNNNNNNNNNNNNNNNNNNNNNNNNNNNNNNNNNNNNNNNNNNNNNNNNNNNNNNNNNNNNNNNNNNNNNNNNNNNNNNNNNNNNNNNNNNNNNNNNNNNNNNNNNNNNNNNNNNNNNNNNNNNNNNNNNNNNNNNNNNNNNNNNNNNNNNNNNNNNNNNNNNNNNNNNNNNNNNNNNNNNNNNNNNNNNNNNNNNNNNNNNNNNNNNNNNNNNNNNNNNNNNNNNNNNNNNNNNNNNNNNNNNNNNNNNNNNNNNNNNNNNNNNNNNNNNNNNNNNNNNNNNNNNNNNNNNNNNNNNNNNNNNNNNNNNNNNNNNNNNNNNNNNNNNNNNNNNNNNNNNNNNNNNNNNNNNNNNNNNNNNNNNNNNNNNNNNNNNNNNNNNNNNNNNNNNNNNNNNNNNNNNNNNNNNNNNNNNNNNNNNNNNNNNNNNNNNNNNNNNNNNNNNNNNNNNNNNNCUGUUCCGUCCAAGCCCUCCCGAUGAACACGACCACGCAUUCCGUUCCGACCCAGCCGGUUGGCUCCCACGCAUUCCAUUGCCUCUCGAUGAACACAAUGCAUUCCGUUGCCUCCCCAUGAACACGACGCAUUCCGUUGCCUCCCCAUGAACACGACGCAUUCCGUUGCCUCCCCAUGAACACGACGACGAUGCUGUUUCUCCGUUCCGACCCGGCCAUGUACACGAGCCCUGGCCGUACGUAUGCGCGAGUAGGCGUUCGAGACCCCGCCCGUAUGUACACAUACGUGACCGUAUUUUCUUUCUUGCACCCUGGCCGCUGUACGUACGUGUACAUGCUACAUGCGCGCCUCUACUACGACACGUGCGCGCCUCUACAUCGACCAGUAUGUACGUACACGUUCGCGACCAGAAUGACAAUGCUACGUACGCUUCGACCAGGUGGGUCCCGACUGCCAGGCACUUCCUUGCCUGUGAAGAUGUAGCUGGUGGGUCCCAGCAGUCAGGGGGGCGAAUCGUUUUUUUUGCCCGGACGCACUUCCUUGCGUGCGAAGAUGUAGCCGGUGGGUCCCAGCAGUCAGGGGGGCGAAUCUUUUUUUUGCCCGGACGCACUUCCUUGCGUGCGAAGGUGUAGCUGGUGGGUCCCAGCAGUCAGGGGGGCGAAUCGUUUUUUUUGCCCGGACGCACUUCCUUGCGUGCGAAGAUGAAGCUGGUGGGUCCCAGCAGUCAGGGGGAAACGUUUUUUCCGCGAAAUACAGUGGCCCGUCCGGUGGGUCCCAGCUGUCAGGUGGAGGAAUCAUUAUUUUCCACGUAAUAAGGAGGCACUUCCUUGCUGCGGCCGUGGACCCAGCUGUCAGCCUCUCCACAUACAGUCCACGUCCGAUGGAAGUCAUUCCUUGACCACGUUGACCAGGCCGAGCCGAGAGCACCACGGCGGUGGACGACGGCGAGGCCUAGGAAGGGGACGACGCAGAGCCGGGGAAGACGCGGCAGUGGAAGCCCGCGCGGAGAGGAGUACGAGGGUUCACUGGUUCGGCUGCGGUGUGAGGCUGCCGUCGCCGCAGGGCCUGGCCAGCGGUGGGAAUAGUAGGGGGCGGUGAGGCCUCCGCGGCAGCACAGCCGGCCACGAGAGGCAGGAGCAUGCGGCACGACCGGCGCUGCUUUGGGCGGCUGGAGCAAGAAGACCAGAGGUUGAAGAAGCACUAUGGCCGUUGGAUGGACAUCGUACGGUCACUGGAGCUAGAAUCGUUCAUAUUGACUAAGUUGACAAAGCCCUCCGUCCCCGUCAACUUAGUUGGCCCACAAGUCAUCCUCCCACUAUGGUGGGUCCCAGCUAGCAGGGGGGUAUUCAUUUUUUUGUGCGUAAUAAGGAGGCACUUCCUUGCGUGCGAAGAUAUAGCUGGUGGGUCCGACAUGUCAGGGGGGACAUUUUUUUUUCGCGAAAUACAGAGGCCCUUCCGGUGGGUCCCAGCUGUUAGGUGGAGGAAUCAUUAUUUUGCGCGUACAGUCCAUGGCUGAUGGAUGUCGUUCGUUGACCACGUUGACCAGGCCGCGCCGAGAGCACCAUGGCGGUGGACGACGGCGAGGCCUAGGAAGGGAACGACACGGAGCCGGGGAAGACUCGGCAAUGGUUGCCCACGUGGUGGGGAGUAUGAGGGUUUACUGGUCUGGCUGCCGUCACCGGAAAAUAACAGGAGGUGUGGGUGAGUAGAGGAAUGGCCUGGCCAGCAAUGAAGUAGGGUGGGUGGUGCGGCCUGUGCGGCAGCACAGCCGGCCACGGGUGGCGGGAGCAGGCAGUCCCACCGGAGCUGGUUUGGGCGGCUGGAGCAAGAAGAUCAGAUAUUGAAGAAGCAGCACGGCCGUUGGAUUAACAUCCAACGGUCACUGCUGCUAGAAUCGUUUGUGGACUAAGUUGACAAAGCCAAAGUACACGUCAACCUAGUAGACCCACAAGUCAGCCUCCAAAUCUGUCCCAAACAGCAUACAACCCGAAAUUUCUAGCCAGAUUCAAAUUAAUUUUACAUCUAAAUAUACCUUAAUUUAAAUUCAAUGAAAUUUUACCCGCACAAAAACAAUGAAAUUUAAAAUAUCAAAAUCCGAAAGAAAAUAGUAUUUUGGAACUAAUUGCCUGUUUGCUGUAUUUUUUCAUUUUACAGCCCAUUUAUUAUUACAUAUAGCCCAUUUCUUAUUACUUAUAGCCCAUUUUCUGGGAAAAAUGCAUCCCUCCUCGUCUUGAAAGAUUUCCGGUCCAGCAGGGCAUAGAAAAGCAAGUAGGCCUACGUUGGUUAUUCUGCAAAAAACAAAAUAGCUCGCUAGCCAUUUUCAGAAAGGAAAAAAACAAACUAGGCUGGUCAUGUGCUAAACAUAUGAAAUAAAAGCCUGGGCUAGACGGGCCACGGGUCCCGCACAACCCAGUUGAUACCCUUCUCCGUCCCGAAAAAACAAAAUUACUGCGCACGCUGCUGGGUCCCUUCUGUCAUCCUCACCAUGUACAGUCAUCUCCUUAUUCCUCUCGGUUGUUGACCAUGUUGACAACACCGGAGGGCGGCGCCGCGGCGAGCGAACCAAGGUGGAGGACGAUGGUGAGGCCUCGGACGGGAACGAACAGGAGCCGGGGAAGAUCACAGCCAGCCGUGGGAGGCGGGAGCAGGCGGUCCCGCCAGCGCUGGUUUGGCUUUGGCGGCUCGAGGAAGAAGAGACUGAAGAAACGCAACAGACGUUGGAUGUCAAUCCAACGGUCAAGGUUGGCACAAUCGUUUGUUGACUAAGCGGACACCAAGUAGCAUACUUUUUUAUAUAUAGGAAGAAAACUGCGAGGAAAAUGCAUUCGUCUGCUGUCCUCCUCACAGGGAACGUUCGCCACAUAAGUGACUAGCACCCUUGGUUUUCAACCGGGAGGUCUCAUAAAUGGUAGUAAUGUUGUUUCAACAGCAGCUGGAUCGCCUUUCACCAUCAUUGGAUAGUUUGGUCCAAGGAUGAGCGAGUUUGCUCCAAGACUAUCAAUACUGAACCAGGGAGAAGGUGUUGGCGCUAGCACACUAGUAUCCGUCCUGAAUACCAUGCAACGGGUGUUGGAAUAGGUCAGGAGAGGGCGACCAUGGGAGACAACACCUGCUUCCUCAGUAGUAACAAUCUGAGUGCACUGUAUACAGACAAGAAGAGGUGAUCCAUCGGAAUUAGUUGCCAGGCGCCACUGAGUAUAUAAGUUCUGCUCCUCCUCAUGCUCGUGAUCAUCACCAUCGUCAUCUCCCCCUUGCUUAUAAAUUUUUUCAAGUAUAGGUGGUGGAAUGUUCACAGGACCUUGGAAACACAAGAAGAAGGUUAAUUAGUAAAGGGAAACUUGCUAACCCGCAUGCAUGUGGAUGAAACAAUUAUAAUUACGGUGAAAGACAAACGUACCGAAACUACGAGGAUCCCAUGCAAAAAUAGUGCCACGAGUGGUCGCAGCAAACACAAGAUCCUCGUAUUCAAUUGCAUCACAGUACACAUCCGUGUAUAGAAAUAGAUUUUUGAGCAAUAUCCAUCCAGUCGAACCACGAAGGACGGCAACAAGCUUGUCGAAGAUAGCAAAAAAUUGAUAGUUCUUGUAAUUCCAAGAGCGGUUGGGAACUCGACAAAUUGCUAUCUUCAGUAGACGACAGUCACCAUGAUCGUAUUUGAACGUACGUAGAUCAUCUGUGCGCUCAACCUCAGGGCACUCGGAGAUUUUUGGAAGUGGAAUCCGCUGACGAGUGUACACAUUCACAAGUUCCCACUCGCAAUUGUACCCAAUAUAAACAACCCAAUCUCCAUUUGCGCCAGCCCAGGACUUACCCUUAAGCGAUGGCAUCUUGACAUCACACGUAUCAUAAUCAAGCGGCAUCAACAUGCACAAGGCGAGGCCUCUGUCGUCCCCGCCCAUGCGAACAGGCUUAUAAGAAGAUAAGGAGAUCAAACCGCUCCUGGACCCUUGGGUUCCUUGUAAUGAUGUUAUUAGUUGAGUCGAGAAUGGGCUUGAACGAACCUGCCAUGCUAGCCGAGGUGAUGACGUCGCACCGAUCAAUGAGUUCCCCCACCACGUCAUCUUUCAGAUCGGGGCAAGAAUAACGGGGUCGUUUCCGGCUUGUUCCCUCCAUGGAGAAGAUGAUCAAACAAUGGCAGAAGGAAGGGUGAAGGCAAAUGGAGGAGGGAGGAAGAGCGUGCGACAGCAGUUCCAAAUCGAGAGGGAAAGGCGAAGAGUCGUUGGACGGUUGCCAGUUUGCCACGGUACACGAAGAGGCGCCCCGGCCUACACGUCCUUUCGGAAAUUGUACAAAAGGACUCGUCGUCGUCUCACUGACAUGUUGGAACGGGAUCACAUGUCAACGAAACAUGGUGUGUAAUUUCUCGUGCAAAAUGCGAUCUGGCCGCGUUGGCCCGAGGUGCCGCAUUAGUUAUCGACUUUAUUUUUUAAUAGCGUGUCGUUCAGUUUUGAAGCACGACUAACUGGUACUGUUUGCAGAGAAAAUAUAAACUACUCUACCACUACUCCACCUCUAGUACUAGUAGUAUAAAAAAGAUAUAUAGGCUGGAGCUCAGAGCUUUCUUGCUAAGGGCUGCCCAAUUGCUUCUCACACUAUUACCCUCUCUCCAGAUCUAAAAAAUACGGCCUCUCUCUCCCUCCUCACUGGUGGUCACAGAUCUUCCGGGGAAGAAAAGGACAUGCAGCGUUGACGCACUUGUCGUCGGCGAGCGAGGUCACGCACUGACGACAAGGUUGUCCUCUCAGACCUAGCGCCCGCGCGGGAUGGCCUCCGUCCCCAAGCUCGCUGCCGUAGUGCGUGCGGAGGACGACAACCACGAGCGAAGCCACUUCUCGCUGACCCUCAUGUAUGCUACCUCUUUUCGAACCAUACCCUUGUUCUAUUGCCCCAUCUGCCAUGUCGCUGCAUGUGGAUCUUUUUCCACUCCACCAUCUUCCCAAUUUGGUAUCCUCUGCUCUGCUGGUCACGCAGAUGAAAACUGUCACAUCCCUAGCUUCUGACAUUGCACUAGGCUAACUUCAUGUGUGCAUCAUGUUUAAACUUUGAAAGAAACUUGAAAUGGGGAUUGCCUAAACCCUAGCAUUAAAGGAAUUCACUAGGUUCAACCAAAAUAUUUCUAGUAAAUCCAAAUGGCUUUCAAAAAUGUUAAUCAUUCUUGGAAAAUGCUGGAAACAGUAACCAGAGGUGAUGCACAUUUUUCCAUGACAUAUUUGGGCUCUGGAUUAAAUCAUACUCUAUUUGCAUUUGGGCAUUUAAAUGCUAUUAAAUAUUUUAAAUGCUCAAAUAAUCAUAAACUAAAAUGUUUACUGUAGGAUAUAUUCCCAACAGUGAUCAUGAGUAGUUUCAUGAUUUUUGGAAGUGUCUAAGUAUUUUUAAUAAAGCCCUAGAGACUACAGAAUAUUAGAAAACAGAAACAAAUACAAAAAAAGAGAGAGAAAGGAAACCUACCUGGCCUCACCUGUCGCAGCCCAGCUGGCCAGCCCACCUGGGCGGCCCAGCCCAGCGCCGCUGCCAGUCAUCUCCCACCUCUCGCCAGUAGGACGAGAGGCGUGUGGCCGCCGUGCGCGCCCACGCGCCCCGGCCACCUCCUGCUUGCCGCUUCUCCCUGGACGUCCCCGGAGACGCCACGCGCUCCCCUCGACCCCUCCCGCUCUUCCCCGUGCUCAUUCCCUCCCCUGGACCUCUCUCUCUCACCCACCCGAACGGGUUCGUCGCCGCCGCUCGCCACCACCGCGGCCAUCGCCUCCCCCUCGCCUCUCCGACAUGCCCAGGAGAUCCGCCACCGUCGCCUAUGUCUCUCUGUUGACUCACGCGACGCCAAACGCCCCGAAGCGCCGCCCCCGACCUCGUCUUCGUCGUUCGGCCGCCGAGAUCGCCGGCGACCUCCCGUCUUCAUCAGCUCCUCCCCGACCUCGCCGACCCGCUCGUCGUGACUGUGGUGAGCUGCUGGCCGUUUUCCCCCCUCUCCGCUCUCUUCCUCGCAUGCCGUAGUGACCGCACCAAGCUCGACCGCACCCGCUGCCGCUUGCGCCCACCGCCGACGCGGCCCCGGCAACCAAACAGCCUGGGCGUCGUGUCCAACAUGCUCGCCGCCUCGCGUAGUUGCUGUAGGUGCCAUGAACGCGCUGCCACGGUCACUGCAGCCCCGUAGCCACAAACACCCGAACGCCAGCGCCGCCCCGAGCUCGUUUCCGGCGAGCUCCAUCCGUCCCCGCUGCUGCCGCAUUCCGCUCUGGAUGCGGGCGAGCCCCAGCUCCCCGCGCGUGCCCUCCUCUGCUCGAUUGGGCGCCGGAGAAGCAAUCCCGAGCCCUUCCGCCGUGUCUGCUGCCGCCGGCGGCUAAACACCGGUGGUUUAGCCCCGGUUGACCAGGGAUUUGACCCCCCUGGGUCAUUGACAUGUGGGCCCCGGCCCCACUGACAUUUUGGUUAGGUUUAACUUAAGGCUAAUUAACUAUAUUAAUUAGCUAAGUCGAUGACAUAUGGGUCCCACUGUUAGGUUUGACUCUAGUUAGGCGCUGUUGACCAGCUGACGUCACAGUGAUGCAGUGCUGACGCAAUAACUCAUUUUUGGAUUUAUUUUUUAUAUAGGAAAUUCCAGAAAAUGUAGCAAACUUCUAAAAAUCAUAGAAAAUAAUCUAUAACUCAGAUUGAAAAGAUUUAUAUAUGAAAAAUGAUCAGAAAAAUCCAAUCUAUCCAUCUGUACUGGUUUCAUGCAUGUCUAAACAACUUAACCUUGCUGUUUAGUUCAAAACAUGAUAAGGCACUAUUUAAAUUCAUAAUUUGAGUUUGGGAUUGAACCUUUGGUUCAAAAUGACCCAAACCCAUCUGUUUGUAGUUGCAUUAGCCAAAACACAUUCAUAUUGCCAUGUCUUAGCAAGCAUGAUAAUUGUUGCAUUGCAUUGAUUGUGUUCUUCCUUGUUUGCCGGUGGUUGUCCCUUCUCGAUAGACGUGGUUCCGACGAUGAGUUCGAUGACACUGAUGAAGAGCUAUAUGAUCUUCGGAAGUGCCAGGCAAGCAAACCCCCUUGUUCAUUCCGAUACAAUCCCACUCUCUCGCUCCUACUCUCUUUUACUGCAUUAGGACAACAACGAUUCAUCUGUUACUUGCUGCGGUAGUUGAACCCCUUAUCCUCUGCAUGACCUGUCAUUGCCACAGUAAAUAGAUGAAACCCACUAGCAUGAGUAGGAGUUGUUUGAGCCCUGAUGUGCCUACUCAUUCAUGCUUGUUUGUCAUGCCUGAUACUGCUUAGAGUUGAGUCGGGUCUGAUUCAUCGGGGAUGAAUUGGAAUGGUGAUGAACAUGUCCUACUGUGUGUGAACACGAUUUGGUAAAGGUAGCGGUGAGAGGCCAUGUAGGAGUACAUGGUGGGUUGUCUCAUUGAAGCCGUCCUCAGGAACUGAGUUCUGUGUUUGUGAUCCAUGAUACAGUUACUACCACGCAUUGGGCCCGAAACCAAUGGACCCUCUCGGCUUCUUAAUCACCCUUGUCCUCUGUCCAGGAGUUGCAAGUAGUUUAUGGUGUUUGUAGUAUGCUAGAGGCCGUGCGCAGCGCUGACCCGAGGGGUGGGCUGUGAUGCGGUAGGCACGUGGCCGGGCAUGCCGGGCGCCCGUUUGGUGUCUCGGAACCCUGUACACAUCGUUCAGGGCCGUAUGCGGAAACCUCGGCCGGACUCCCUGCGGAUGGAACCUGAAUAGGCGAUAAACCUAGACUAGAGACUUGAGCGUUUAGGUAGGCUGUGGCCGACACCCUCGCUGGGCUUCCGCUUGAAGGUUGCCGAGUACAUGCUGUGUAAACGGCGGUAAGUGGUGAGAGCGUGUGUGACGAAGUACACCCCUCCAGGGUUAAUAUGAUCUAUUCGAAUAGCCGUGUCCGCGGUAAAGGACUUCUGGGUUGCCUAUAACAGUUCAUAGACAAGUGAAAGUGGAUACUCUAAAAUGCGCAAGAUAAGCGUGAGUGCUAUGGAUGGCGUUCUCGUAGGGAGACGGGAGCGGAUCCAUAGUGGAGUAUUGAUAUGGUGAAUAUGUGGACUCGUGUGCGCCACCUCAAAAGAGUUACUUGCAGUCGUAGUUUAGGAUAGCCACCGAGUCAAAGCUGGCUUGCUGCAGUUAAACUCCACCACCCCCUUUGUUGAUACCGAUGCAUAUGUAGAUAGUUCUGAUGUAAGUCUUGCUGGGUACAUUUGUACUCACAUUUGCUUAUUUUAUGUUUUGCAGAGAGACGUCAGUCUCGCUAGUAGUUCCGUGUGGACUUCGACGUUUAGCUUGAUACCUCAGCUACGAUCUUGUGCCCUCGGCAGGAUCUAGUAGAUAGUCAGGCUUCUCAGCCUUUUUCAUUUAUAGUUGUCUGUACUCAGACAUGUUAAGCUUCCGCAUGUGUUUGACUUGUAUGCUCUGAAUGCUGGGUCGAGAGACCCAUGUUUGUAAUAUCUGGCUCUUCGGAGCCUAAUGAAUAAAUACUCUGAGUCGUAGAGUCUAGUUGUGAUGCCAUGUUGUAUUUGCACAUAGCGAGCAUAUUGUGUGUAUGAUUGAAAUGCUUGGUAUGUGUGGGAUCCGACAAUCUAGUUGUUUAUCCUUGGUAGCCUCUCUUAUGGGGAAAUGUAGUCUUGUGUUUCCAUGAGCCAUAGUAGUCCGCUACAGCCCGGUUCACCGGAGUCCUGCUAGCCCAGCACUACUGCUCCGAAACACUUGACUGGCCGGCAUGUGAUUCACUUCGUUCCUGUGUCUGUCCCUUCGGGGUAAUGUCACGCGGUGACAUCCGGAGUCCUGCCUAGCCUGCUACAGCCCGGGUUCCCGGAGUCCUGUUAGCCCAGUGCUACAGCCUGGAUUCACACGUUGCUGACCGACAUGCUCGAUGUUGAUUCAUGUAUGCCUGUCCCCAUAAGUUAGUGCCGCUUUGGGUUCACGACUAGCCAUGUCGGCCCGGGUUCUCUAUCAUAUGGAUGCUAGCGACACUAUCAUAUACGUGAGCCAAAAGGCGCAAACGGUCCCGGGCCAUGGUAAGGUGACACCCGUGGGAAUACCGUGCGUGAGGCCGCAAAGUGAUAUGAGGUGUUACAGGCUAGAUCGGUGUGACUUAGAAUCGGGGUCCCGACAAAAACCUUAAUUUGCACUAUUAAAGGAAACCCUACUUCAUGCAGACUAAUCCAUGCCUAGGUUGAAUAAGGAAAGGAAGGGAGACUGUACUGUCCAAGAGAGUAGGCAUUGAACCCGCAUCUAGGUUGAAAAGGGGAAAAUCAGUAGCUAAGGAACGAGUCUCGUGUCUCUUGGUUGAAGAAGGUAGAAAGGCAUGACAACGCAAUAGAGAAUGACCAGGUUGAUCGGUUUGUUGUCCUCACAUAGGAAAAAGGUGGCUAAACAUAACAAAAAAUGGGACGUAAUCCACAUAUGCUGCCUGGAUAUUUGUUGCUCUGGGCAACCAUACCUCCCUCACCACUCUAUGCGUCUGUCACUACAGGAAUCAGCUACUUUGCCAUCUGCCACGGCAGAUGGCAAAGGCAGGAACGGCGGACGGCAAAGAUCUUUGCCGUCUGCCGCGGACGGCAAAAGGCUCCGGCAAAGUAAGGAUCAGCAAAGAGCUACUUUGCCGUCUGCUUUCGGCGGCUGACGGCAAAGGGACCUUUGCCAUCAGCAGCAGACGGCAAAGAAAGCAGACGACAAUAAUUAUGCUGUUAGUCCGUUAGGUGGCUAACGGCAGCCUUUGCCGUCCGCCUCGCGAGUCACAGACAGCAAACAAAAGGGAUAAUAUUUAAAAAAACACAACAACAAUGCUCCCGAGUGCUGCGGUCAACGCAUGCAAGUGCACUUCCCUAUCUUUCUUUUUAACAGGGAAAGGACAGGCCGUGCCUUGGUGCCUUUUGUUCAACAUUAGUGGAGUACAAAGUUCAAACAGGACCCCGAGAAAACUAAAGUUACAACAUAGUCCUGGAAAUUAACACAAAAGGCCCUAAAAAUUAAAACUGAAAGGCAAUCGAGUCCUUGCUCUCCACUGCAGUGCUCUGCCCGCCCCGUCGUCCAGCCCGACUAUGGCUGCGCCGCCGCCCGGCGCUUCUCGCUGCGCCGUUGUCUGACCCUGCUCAGCCGCGCUCGGGAGCUGACUUGCUCCGGCGCGGGGGCGAGGGGGUGCACGCGAGGGAGGUCGGGGAUGGGAGGUGCGCGACCGUCGGAGCUCGCGAGGCGGGGCGCACGGCUGUCGGGUGAGGAGCUCGAGUGCGCACGGAGCUCGCGGUGCGGACGGGCUCAGGUGAGCUUCACGUGGCGCUGGCAAGGUGGCAGAACUUCACGUGGCACUGGCGAGGUGGCAGAGCUUCACGCGGCGACGACGACGGAGAUGCACACGGCGAGGCUACUGGCCACGAUGGACAGGCGGUCGAGGGGCGCAGCGUCGGCCAGACGGAGGGGCGGGAGGGCGCUGGCGUAGCGACGGAUGGACAGGCACGCGGGCGGUGGCCGCCCCGUGCGGCUGCUCGAGGACGAGCGUGCGCUGGGCUGAACCUGCGGCUGCUCGGGAGCACUGGACAGGCAGGCGGGCGCGGCGUGCGUUGGCCCAUGGCAUGCGGCUGCUCGGGGGAGUAGGAGAGAGGUGGGACUAGCAGGAGAGAGGAGAGCGAUGACCGGCAGUGUGCUACUACUCUGGCAGAAGGAGAGGGGAAUCGUGGGUGGGGCUAUGCGUCGAUGGGGCUGUGCGUGGGCACGCGUGCAUCAUGGGUCAGUGGGGGCAUGCGUCCGACGGCUGUGAGUGGGUGGGACGUGCGUCUAGGAUUUCGCCAAGUCAUCGAUCCGUGUGGUCUAUCCGCGUGGUGUGCUUCUUCUUUGCCGUCCGCCGAGGCUUUUCCGUCCGCUUUUUUUAUCUUUGCCGUCUGCUAGCAGACGGCAAAGAGGGGGCCGUUAAGUUUUUCUAAUCAGCUCGUUACUGGGGGCCACCUCUCUCUUUGCCGUUAGCCAGCUGACGGCAAAGAACUGACAGAUGGCAAAGACCGAUUUUGCCGUCUGUCAGUUGUUUGCCGUCUGCUUUUUGAUAGCUGAUGGCAAAGACCUUCUUUGCCGUCUGCUAGCAGACGGCAAAGAACUGGCAGACGGCAAAAUCCCUGAUUCCAGUAGUGUGUGGAGGUACAUCGUACUGGUGCGCACUGCCCGAAUGGGCCUCCCAUGCUCUUAGUGUCACUUUUUGCUGUCAGUAUAACGCCAGCAGUCAAGUCAAGCAAUGCUACUGCUAAAGUGAUGCCACAUUUAACUAAUGCCGCACUCAGUCUAAUGCCACCGAUAAAUUUAAGCAAUGCCAUUUAAUGUCACCGGAUUAUUUCAGGGUUAGCUGUUGAUUGUGGAUGUAUUAAAGAUUUUUCAGCUAAGGCAUUCUAAUGCUGUUGCACAGCCAGUAUACCAACGAUGAAACUUGUUACUACCUUCAGAUUUUUGCACUGUUAAUGCUUAUAGAUUACAUACCUCACUUUCAUGAGAUAAGUUUAUUUUUUUCUACAGUGUCACCAAAAUGCCAAGGCGCUGAUGUCAUUUUAUUUUGGUUAAACUACACAAAAAAUUAUGAAGACAAGAGGAAAGGUCAAGAGUGGGCACCUCCUCCUCCGGCUGUUCUCUUGAUUCAUUCGAUCAAGUUUUUAUGUUUGAUCGAUUAUCAAGAUUGGGAUAGCAAUUUUUAAGCCCCCCCCGAGUUCGAAAUGAUAUUUACCUUGGAGGUACAUGGUUUGCAAUUUUUUAUACUGUCAUUAGUUAAUAAUGCUAGUUACCUUCAGACUUUUGGUUUUGGUUUAAUGCUCAUGCACAGCUAGUAUACCAAUGCUGAAACGUGUUACCUUUACAUUUUGUAUUGUUAAUUCUUAUAGAAAUCUUCCAGUGCCAGAGUUUAUUGAAAUCUGUUCAGUAAAACCAUUGUACUGUACCCUGUAAUAAAAUAACUACUCUACUGUUGCACUAGCCACUGGAUUAGUGUAUAUUUGUAGUAUUCGAAAUUUCGAAUGGUGUAUAUUUGUAGUAGCCACCAAUUUCGAAUGGUGUUGCAUUAGCGUAUGGACAUAAAUAAAGUGUGGCAAGCUUUCACAGAUAUGUGCUCAAGAAAACUACUACCUGUUUUUCUAAAUACUAGUAGACGUUUGGGUACUUUAAACUGAACCACGAAAACGUCUUAUAUUAAGGAACAGAGGGUGUAGAGUUCACUCAAAUUAUCCCGGUAAAGCUAGUCACACCUUUGUUAAAAUUAAUGUUCAUUAUGUUAUCGAAGGAGGUCUGUAAGUUUGUCUCUAAUGCCUGUCGACUACAUACCUGACAUCAUGAUGUACUGUUAAGUCAUUUCCUUUUGUACAGUGUCACUGAAUUGUCAAGGCAGUGAUGGCAUUUUAUUUUAGUUGAACUGCACAACAUAUGCUUAAAAGAAGAGGAAAGGUCAGGAAUCAAUCAUUAUUUCAGAAAGAACUAUAUAUGCCUUUCUGACAUCAGCCUCUGUUGCCUUAUUUAUUCCUUCAAACAGGUGGUUAGAAACAGUCUUGCUACCUUUUCCCAUUAAGAAAUUGGAAUGCUUAUAUUUGUGAGUCUAUGCUUCAACUAGUGCCACUUUUAUAGUAAUCACACUUUCGAUAUCUAUGCAAACAGGGAUGCUUGAUUUUAGUGGAACUGCACAAAAAGUCCAACUGGUUCAACAUUAGGAGCAGGUUUUCUUCCAAACCUUUAUAUCCAAUUGGUGGCACUAUGAGCUGUUCAUUAAGAAGGUACAUGGUUUGGUACUAUCUUGCUACUCUUUUUGUACUAUCAUUAGAUAGUAAUACUAGUGGUUUGCAUGUGAAUUUAUUGGCAGGGUGGACCUACAUUGGAGGUGCAGGACAGGAUUCAAUGAUUGGAUGCUCAAUUUCGGUUGUAUCGGUUUCACCUCUUCCAUCACUACGAACAUGGAUAUCCUUGGUCUGAUGAAGAAUAGGCGCUAUAUUUCUGCUCUGAACAAGCAAAUCAAUUCAGUAUGAAAUUGUCCAGGGCAAAACAUGACUGUAUCAAAUUGUCCAGUGCAAAACAUGACAGAUGCUAAGCGGAAGAGACAUGUUUAAACCGAAAAUACAAGGUGCGGUAUAUGUUUACUAGCUGCUUGAUAUUUGUGCAGACAGAGAUGUCUGCCUGUUGCUAUUUGGCAAACACACAAAGUGACCACAAUUUUGGUUGAACUGAACAAGAGAAUAGUAUAGUCACUACAUGCAGUGCCAUUUGAAAAUAGACACAGAAAGAUUGGAUAGUCACUUCAUGGACUGCAGAAAAGUAGUACUGUACUAUUUAUUGGCCAACACUAGGUGCUUCAUUGCUUUGGUCUGAUUAUACAAUGGGCAUCAUUUUGCCUAAGUUAAAGUUUGUAUUCCGAAAAUAGUCUCGCCGUGUGAUCAAGAGAAGACUAAAUCAUAUUGUAGUGGAUGUUCCUCCAUCAUGUGUGGUUCAUUCUCAUGGUUCCAGCUGUUGGUGAAACCAGUUACGUUUGCAAGAGGAAUUGUAGACUUCACAAACAAAUUUGUCUUUCAGUCUGUACUGAAUGUUGGCCAAGAGAAGCAUCCAUGUUAGUAGGAAGAACAUAUGUUUUUUUCUAGAUCUUUGCUUUUGGAGCUACAUAUUUGUAUAUGAUCUGUGAAUCAUUGAGAUGCAUUAACAUGUUGAUCUUAUGUAUGGGAAUCAUACUAGUUGGUUUUAGUUGUGGCUGAUCUUUGCUUUUGGAGCUACAUAUUUGUAUAUGAUCUGUGAAUCAUUGAGAUGCAUUAACAGUUCUUUAUAUAUGUUCGCUCAGUGUUUACAAGUUACCGAUCGAUCACUAGCUAGCCUACUAAUGCACUCCUGGCUGUUUUAGUUGCGACGCAAGAUCCGUGGAAUCAUUAUUGACAAGGAGGAAUCAUUAUCGAUCACUAGCUAGCCUACUAAUACUCGGGUUAAGCUUGACGAGCCUAGCAUAUAAUAGAUAUGGCCUCGGAACACGGAGACCGAAAGGUCGAGCGUGAAUCAUAUAGUAGAUAUGAUCAACAUAGUGAUGUUCACCGUUGAAACGACUCCAUCUCACGUGAUGAUCGGACAUGGUUUAGUUGAUAUGGAUCACGUGACCACUUAGAGGAUUAGAGGGAUGUCUUUCUAAGUGGGAGUUCUUAAGUUAUAUGAUUAAUUGAACUUUAAAUUUAUCAUGAACUUAGUCCUGGUAGUAUUAGCAUAUCUAUGUUGUAGAUCAAUUGCUCGCGUUUAGCUCCCCUGUUUUGUUUUGAUAUGUUCCUAGAGAAAACUAAGUUGAAAGAUGUUAGUAGCAAUGAUGCGGACUUGGUCCGUGAUCUGAGGAUUAACCUCAUUGCUGCACAGAAGUAUUAUGUCCUUGAUGCACCGCUAGGUGACAAAACUAUUGCAGGAGCAGAUGCAGACGUUAUGAACGUUUUGAAAAAAGCUCGGUAUGAUGACUACUUGAUAGUUUAGUGCACCAUGCUUAACGGCUUAGAAUUGGGACUUCAAAGACGUUUUGAACAUCAUGGACCAUAUGAGAUGUUCCAGGAGUUGAAGUUAAUAUUUCAAGCAAAUACCCGAGUUGAGAGAUAUGAGGUCUCCAACAAGUUCUAUAGCUAAAAGAUGGAGGAGAAUAGCUCAAGCAGUGAGCAUGUGCUCAGAUUGUCUGGGUACUACAAUCGCUUGAAUCAUGGGAGUUAAUCUUCCAGAUAAAAUAGUGAUUGACAGAAUUCUCUAGUCACCAUCACCAAGUUAGUAGAACUUCGUGAUGAACUAUAGUAUGCAAGGGAUGACGAAAACAAUUCCCAAGCUCUUCGCAAUGCUAAAAUUGGCGAAGGUAGAAAUCGAGAAAAACAUCAAGUGUUGAUGGUUGACAAGACCACUAGUUUCAAGAAAAGGGGCAAAGGGAAGAAGGGGAACUUCAAGUAGAACGGCAAGCGAGUUGCUGCUGAAGUGAAGAAGCCCAAGUCUGGACCUAAGCCUGAGACUAAGUGCUUCUACUGCAAAGGGACUGGUCACUGGAAGCGGAACUGCCCCAAGUAUUUGGUAGAUAAGAAGGAUGGCAAAGUGAAACAAAGCUAUAUUUGAUAUACAUGUUAUUGAUGUGUACUUUACUAGUGUUUAUAGCAACCCCUCGGUAUUUGAUACUGGUUCAGUUGCUAAGAGUAGUAACUCGAAACAUGAGUUGUAGAAUGAACAUAGACUAGUUAAGGGUGAAGUGACGAUGUGUGUUGGAAGUGGUUCCAAGAUUGAUAUGAUCAUCAUCGCACGCUCCCUACACUUUCGGGAUUAGUGUUGAACCUAAAUAAGUGUUAUUUGGUGUUUGCGUUGAGCAUGAAUAUGAUUUGAUCAUGUUUAUUGCAAUACGGUUAUUCAUUUAAGUUAGAGAAUAAUUGUUGUUCUAUUUACAUGAAUAAAACCUUCUAUGGUCAUACACCCAAUGAAAAUGGUUUGUUGGAUCUCAAUCGUGGUGAUACACAUUUUCAUAAUAUUGAAGCCAAAAGAUGCAAAGUUAAUAAUGAUAGUGCAACUUAUUUGUGGCACUGCCGUUUAGGUCAUAUUGGUGUAAAGCGCAUGAAGAAACUCCAUACUGAUGGACCUUUGGAAUCACUUGAUUAUGAAUCACUUGAUGCUUGCGAACCAUGCCUCAUGGGCAAGAUGACUAAGACUCCGUUCUCCGGAACAAUGGAGCGAGCAACUGACUUAUUGGAAAUAAUACAUACUGAUGUAUGCGAUCCGAUGAGUGUUGAGGCUCGCGGCGGGUAUCGUUAUUUUCUGACCUUCACAGAUGAUUUGAGCAGAUAUGGGUAUAUCUACUUGAUUGAACAUAAGUCUGAAACAUUUGAAAAGUUCAAAGAAUUUUAGAGUGAAGUGGAAAACCAUCGUGACAAGAAAAUAAGGUUUCUACGAUCUGAUCGCGGAGACAAAUAUUUGAGUUACAAGUUUGGUCUUCAAUUAAAACAAUGUGGAAUAGUUUCACAAAUUCGUGCCACCUAGAACACCACAG
rnacentral:lncRNA from 1 species